GGGGAUUUAGCUCAGUGGUAGAGCACUUGCCUAGUAAGUGCAAGGCCCUGGGUUCAGUCCUCA
rnacentral:tRNA from 1 species